rnacentral:rRNA from 1 species
GACGAACGCUGGCGGCGUGCCUAAUACAUGCAAGUAGAACGCUGAAGAGAGGAGCUUGCUCUUCUUGGAUGAGUUGCGAACGGGUGAGUAACGCGUAGGUAACCUGCCUUGUAGCGGGGGAUAACUAUUGGAAACGAUAGCUAAUACCGCAUAACAAUGGAUGACACAUGUCAUUUAUUUGAAAGGGGCAAUUGCUCCACUACAAGAUGGACCUGCGUUGUAUUAGCUAGUAGGUGAGGUAACGGCUCACCUAGGCGACGAUACAUAGCCGACCUGAGAGGGUGAUCGGCCACACUGGGACUGAGACACGACCCAGACUCCUACGGGAGGCAGCAGUAGGGAAUCUUCGGCAAUGGGGGCAACCCUGACCGAGCAACGCCGCGUGAGUGAAGAAGGUUUUCGGAUCGUAAAGCUCUGUUGUAAGUCAAGAACGAGUGUGAGAGUGGAAAGUUCACACUGUGACGGUAGCUUACCAGAAAGGGACGGCUAACUACGUGCCAGCAGCCGCGGUAAUACGUAGGUCCCGAGCGUUGUCCAGAUUUAUUGGGCGUAAAGCGAGCGCAGGCGGUUUGAUAAGUCUGAAGUUAAAGGCUGUGGCUCAACCAUAGUUCGCUUUGGAAACUGUCAAACUUGAGUGCAGAAGGGGAGAGUGGAAUUCCAUGUGUAGCGGUGAAAUGCGUAGAUAUAUGGAGGAACACCGGUGGCGAAAGCGGCUCUCUGGUCUGUAACUGACGCUGAGGCUCGAAAGCGUGGGGAGCGAACAGGAUUAGAUACCCUGGUAGUCCACGCCGUAAACGAUGAGUGCUAGGUGUUGGAUCCUUUCCGGGAUUCAGUGCCGCAGCUAACGCAUUAAGCACUCCGCCUGGGGAGUACGACCGCAAGGUUGAAACUCAAAGGAAUUGACGGGGGCCCGCACAAGCGGUGGAGCAUGUGGUUUAAUUCGAAGCAACGCAAAGAACCUUACCAGGUCUUGACAUCCCGAUGCUAUUUCUAGAGAUAGAAAGUUACUUCGGUACAUCGGUGACAGGUGGUGCAUGGUUGUCGUCAGCUCGUGUCGUGAGAUGUUGGGUUAAGUCCCGCAACGAGCGCAACCCCUAUUGUUAGUUGCCAUCAUUCAGUUGGGCACUCUAGCGAGGCUGCCGGUAAUAAACCGGAGGAAGGUGGGGAUGACGUCAAAUCAUCAUGCCCCUUAUGACCUGGGCUACACACGUGCUACAAUGGUUGGUACAACGAGUUGCGAGUCGGUGACGGCAAGCUAAUCUCUUAAAGCCAAUCUCAGUUCGGAUUGUAGGCUGCAACUCGCCUACAUGAAGUCGGAAUCGCUAGUAAUCGCGGAUCAGCACGCCGCGGUGAAUACGUUCCCGGGCCU